CCUACGGGGGGCUGCAGUCGGGAAUUUUGGGCAAUGGGCGAAAGCCUGACCCAGCAACGCCGCGUGAAGGAUGAAGUAUUUCGGUAUGUAAACUUCGUAAGAAUGGGAAGAAUCAAUGACGGUACCAUUUGUAAGGUCCGGCUAACUACGUGCCAGCAGCCGCGGUAAUACGUAGGGACCAAGCGUUGUUCGGAUUUACUGGGCGUAAAGGGCGCGUAGGCGGCGUAUCAAGUCAAUUGUGAAAUCUCCGGGCUUAACUCGGAACGGUCAAUUGAUACUGAUGUGCUAGAGUGCAGAAAGGGCAGCUGGAAUUCUUGGUGUAGCGGUGAAAUGCGUAGAUAUCAAGAGGAACACCUGAGGCGAAGGCGAGUUGCUAGGCUGACACUGACGCUGAGGCGCGAAAGCUAGGGGAGCGAACGGGAUUAGAUACCCUGGUAGUC
rnacentral:rRNA from 1 species